rnacentral:rRNA from 1 species
CCUACGGGAGGCAGCAGUGGGGAAUUUUGGACAAUGGACGCAAGUCUGAUCCAGCCAUGCCGCGUGCGGGAAGAAGGCCUUCGGGUUGUAAACCGCUUUUGUCAGGGAAGAAACGGCUUUCUCUAAUACAGAGAGCUAAUGACGGUACCUGAAGAAUAAGCACCGGCUAACUACGUGCCAGCAGCCGCGGUAAUACGUAGGGUGCAAGCGUUAAUCGGAAUUACUGGGCGUAAAGCGUGCGCAGGCGGUUAUGCAAGACAGAGGUGAAAUCCCCGGGCUCAACCUGGGAACUGCCUUUGUGACUGCAUAGCUAGAGUACGGUAGAGGGGGAUGGAAUUCCGCGUGUAGCAGUGAAAUGCGUAGAUAUGCGGAGGAACACCGAUGGCGAAGGCAAUCCCCUGGACCUGUACUGACGCUCAUGCACGAAAGCGUGGGGAGCAAACAGGAUUAGAUACCCUGGUAGUCCACGCCCUAAACGAUGUCAACUGGUUGUUGGGAGGGUUUCUUCUCAGUAACGAAGCUAACGCGUGAAGUUGACCGCCUGGGGGAGGUACGGCCGCGAGUAGAACGUACGAAGAAGUAGAGGCGUGAGACGUGCCGACGGACGACGACGAGGGAGGAGG